UACGGGGGGGGCAAGCGUUGUUCGGAAUUACUGGGCGUAAAGGGCUCGUAGGCGGCCAACUAAGUCAGACGUGAAAUCCCUCGGCUUAACCGGGGAACUGCAUCUGAUACUGGAUGGCUUGAGAUUGGGAGAGGGAUGCGGAAUUCCAGGUGUAGCGGUGAAAUGCGUAGAGAUGUGGAGGAACACCGAUGGCGAAGGCAGCCCCCUGGGUCAACACUGACGCUCAUGCACGAAAGCGUGGGGAGCAAACAGG
rnacentral:rRNA from 1 species